GGGCAACCCUGGUGGCGAGCGGCGAACGGGUGAGUAAUACAUCGGAACAUGCCCAGUCGUGGGGGAUAACACUUCGAAAGAAGUGCUAAUACCGCAUACGUCCUGAGGGAGAAAGCGGGGGAUCGCAAGACCUCGCGCGAUUGGAGUGGCCGAUGUCAGAUUAGCUAGUUGGUGGGGUAAAGGCCUACCAAGGCAACGAUCUGUAGCUGGUCUGAGAGGAUGAUCAGCCACACUGGGACUGAGACACGGCCCAGACUCCUACGGGAGGCAGCAGUGGGGAAUUUUGGACAAUGGGGGCAACCCUGAUCCAGCCAUUCCGCGUGAGUGAAGAAGGCCUUCGGGUUGUAAAGCUCUUUCGGCAGGAACGAAACGGCGAGCUCUAACAUAGCUUGCUAAUGACGGUA
rnacentral:rRNA from 1 species